GGUUCGGGACGACCCGGAUACACGCCAUCUUAUUGGGGACGGCCCCA
rnacentral:ncRNA from 1 species